rnacentral:rRNA from 1 species
UACAGGGGGUGCAAACGUUGCUCGGAAUUAUUGGGCGUAAAGCGCGCGUAGGCGGCUACUUAAGUCGGAUGUGAAAGCCCUUGGCUCAACUGAGGAAGUGCACCCGAAACUGAGUGGCUAGAGUACGAAAGAGGGUCGCGGAAUUCCCGGUGUAGAGGUGAAAUUCGUAGAUAUCGGGAGGAACACCGGUGGCGAAGGCGGCGACCUGGGUCGAUACUGACGCUGAUGCGCGAAAGCGUGGGGAGCGAACAGG